GGGGGUUAGUUUAAUUAAAAUAAUUAAUUUCGACUUAAUAGACCCUGAUGCCUUCAGGACCCCUAAC
rnacentral:tRNA from 1 species